GAAGGAGAGGCAUCUUGAUCCCUGGUAAUCCAGAUUGCCAAUUCCUGUUUGAAAUUCUAGCAUCGUCCCUGAAUCCAUUCUUUCAUGAUUAGGAGCUUCUGGUUCUAGUUGAUGUUUGCCGGGAGCGGAAUGAAUGAAUCAAAUUUUUCUUCCAAUAGCAAGAAUCUGCAGCUCUCAAAUAGCAUUCCACAGUAGGUGAAUUUCAAACAACCAGUCCUCCUCUAGAAGCAGAGCACAGCCUUGUUGUUCUUAUCGUUAUCAUUCAUCAAGUACACACCACACACUUGGCAUUAUAAGGAAUGUUUAGAUUGAUAGUGGUUUGACAUGGGUUUUUUUGUUUUAGCCAUAAACGCACCUUGGGUAUCUGAAGCCUCUCACCAGGAAAUCCAAGCAUCCUAUAAACACAUUUUCCUUUAUCUUUUCAGCAUUGUUAGAGACAGAUGUGGACUCUUAAGAUUCUGUUUUUCCAGCAGAGGAAACUGAAAUGGAAGAAAGUUAGGGGAGCAAUGCUCAGCUCCGUGUAAAUGAGCACAGCUGAUAUUGAGGAUUGGGGAGGAGGCUAGAGGCUAUAAGCAGAGGGAGGAAGAAUUUCAGGGAAGGCAUUUUGGCCUGGGUUUCACGCUACUCAAGUGUUUUUUGUUUUAAUUUACAAACUUACACUUAUCUCAUGCAAUGUAGCACUCCAGGCGGUGAAAGCAAAUAACUGGUGACAUUCAUCUCAUUUAAUUCUCUCAACAAGCCAAUGCUUUAUCCCCAUUUUUGUCAAGUGAGGUAACAUGGGGUGAGAGGAGCUGCUCGUAGGAUGAGGAGGCAAGACUAGUCCUCUGACCAAACCCCAUCACUGUAUGUUGCAUCAAGCUGCCCUGGUGUUAUCCCUC
rnacentral:lncRNA from 1 species